rnacentral:miRNA from 1 species
UGAGAGGUCUAUCCUGACGCA